rnacentral:rRNA from 1 species
GACGAACGCUGGCGGCGUGCUUAACACAUGCAAGUCGAACGGAGAAUUUAUUUCGGUAAAUUCUUAGUGGCGAACGGGUGAGUAACGCGUGGGCAACCUGCCCUUCAGAUGGGGACAACAUCCCGAAAGGGGUGCUAAUACCGAAUACGAUCACGCUGCCGCAUGGCGGUGUGAUGAAAGAUGGCCUCUAUUUAUAAGCUAUCGCUGAAGGAUGGGCCGGGGUCUGAUUAGCUAGUUGGUGGGGUAAAGGCCUACCAAGGCGAUGAUCAGUAGCCGGUCUGAGAGGAUGAACGGCCACAUUGGGACUGAGACACGGCCCAAACGCCUACGGGAGGCAGCAGUGGGGAAUAUUCCGCAAUGGACGAAAGUCUGACGGAGCAACGCCGCGUGAGUGAUGAAGGUUUUCGGACUGUAAAACUCUGUUGUUUAGGACGAAAGUGCCUGUUGCAAAUAGUUGCAGGUAUUGACGGUACUGAACGAGGAAGCCACGGCUAACUACGUGCCAGCCGCCGCAGUAAAAC